CAGUCGAGCGGAUGAAGGAGCUUGCUCCUGGAUUCAGCGGCGGACGGGUGAGUAAUGCCUAGGAAUCUGCCUGGUAGUGGGGGACAACGUUUCGAAAGGAACGCUAAUACCGCAUACGUCCUACGGGAGAAAGCAGGGGACCUUCGGGCCUUGCGCUAUCAGAUGAGCCUAGGUCGGAUUAGCUAGUUGGUGAGGUAAUGGGUCACCAAGGCGACGAUCCGUAACUGGUCUGAGAGGAUGAUCAGUCACACUGGAACUGAGACACGGUCCAGACUCCUACGGGAGGCAGCAGUGGGGAAUAUUGGACAAUGGGCGAAAGCCUGAUCCAGCCAUGCCGCGUGUGUGAAGAAGGUCUUCGGAUUGUAAAGCACUUUAAGUUGGGAGGAAGGGCAGUAAAUUAAUACUUUGCUGUUUU
rnacentral:rRNA from 1 species